rnacentral:rRNA from 1 species
UACGUAGGGUGCGAGCGUUAAUCGGAAUUACUGGGCGUAAAGCGUGCGCAGGCGGUGAGCUGUGUCCGAUGUGAAAGCCCCGGGCUUAACCUGGGAAUGGCAUUGGAAACUGGCUCGCUGGAGUGUGGCAGAGGGGGGUGGAAUUCCGCGUGUAGCAGUGAAAUGCGUAGAGAUGCGGAGGAACACCGAUGGCGGAAGGCAGCCCCCUGGGCUAACACUGACGCUCAGGCACGAAAGCGUGGGGAGCAAACAGG